CCCUCAUCCAGGCAGCACUUCAGAGAGAUCAGGCCACUGACUCCUGCUCCAAUCACAGCCACCUUCUUUGCCAUCGUCUCCUGUCAAUGAGUUGACCAGUCAUUACUGCUUCAGGAGGACAAAGACUCCAAAAACAGGAUCAUGGGCACAAGGCUUCCUAGGAUUAUAUGGUUCAGCAUCCAUUUGUAUUGAUUCAUAUCCACAAGUAAUUCACCAAAGUGACGAAUGGCCAUGCACUGAAUGCAACCAUUAACCUGGAACGUGCACAGAAGAAAAGACCAAGACUUCAGUUGAGCAGGUUGAGAAACUGAUGCACAAAGACUCUGAAGAAAUAUCUGUUAUCACCAUGAUAUCAAAGGUAGAAGAGGGAUUAACACCCACACAGCCCAGGUCCAGUGUUGUUGUUUUUGUUUUUGAGACAUGGUUUCUCUGUA